rnacentral:rRNA from 1 species
CUACGGGAGGCUCCAGUGGGGAAUAUUGCACAAUGGGCGCAAGCCUGAUGCAGCCAUGCCGCGUGUAUGAAGAAGGCCUUCGGGUUGUAAAGUACUUUCAGCGGGGAGGAAGGGAGUAAAGUUAAUACCUUUGCUCAUUGACGUUACCCGCAGAAGAAGCACCGGCUAACUCCGUGCCAGCAGCCGCGGUAAUACGGAGGGUGCAAGCGUUAAUCGGAAUUACUGGGCGUAAAGCGCACGCAGGCGGUUUGUUAAGUCAGAUGUGAAAUCCCCGGGCUCAACCUGGGAACUGCAUCUGAUACUGGCAAGCGUGAGUCUCGUAGAGGGGGGUAGAAUUCCAGGUGUAGCGGUGAAAUGCGCAGAGAUCUGGAGGAAUACCGGUGGCGAAGGCGGCCCCCUAGACGAAGACUGACGCUCAGGUGCGAAAGCGUGGGGAGCAAACAGGAUUAGAUACCCCGGUAGUC